CCCAACUUGAAAAUCUCCCUUUGGAGAAUUGUAGUCUAGAGAAGCGCCCUCUGCGGCGGCCGGAGCCUAAGUCCGUUGGAAAACGGCGUCAGAGAGGGUGAGAACCCCGUCGGCUCUAGGCUUAGCUGCUCCACGAGGUGCUUUCCACGAGUCGGGUUGUUUGGGAAUGCAGCCCAAAAUGGGAGGUACAUCCCUUCUAAGGCUAAAUACUGGCGAGAGACCGAUAGCGAACAAGUACCGUGAGGGAAAGAUGAAAAGAACUUUGAAAAGAGAGUUAAAAAGUGCUUGAAAUUGUUGAGAGGGAAGCGUUUGGAGGUUAUAGGUGCGCCUAGGCUUAUACGGUUCUAACGAGCCGUUGUAUGUGCUAGGUGCUGGUCAACAUGGGUUAGCUUGGCGGGAUAACAGCGGGGGUUGAUACCCCGUCUAUGCCGCCGGGUUGAUCAAGGUGUGAAUGGCGCUCUGUCCUUCGGGAACUGC
rnacentral:rRNA from 1 species